UACGUAGGGGCAAGCGUUGUCCGGAAUUAUUGGGCGUAAAGCGCGCGCAGGCGGUCCUUUAAGUCUGAUGUGAAAGCCCACGGCUUAACCGUGGAGGGUCAUUGGAAACUGAGGGACUUGAGUACAGAAGAGGAGAGUGGAAUUCCACGUGUAGCGGUGAAAUGCGUAGAGAUGUGGAGGAACACCAGUGGCGAAGGCGACUCUCUGGUCUGUAACUGACGCUGAGGUGCGAAAGCGUGGGUAGCAAACAGGAUUAGAUACCCCGGUAGUCCCU
rnacentral:rRNA from 1 species